rnacentral:rRNA from 1 species
GAUGAACGCUGGCGGCGGGCUUAACACAUGCAAGUCGAGCGGAGAGAGGUAGCUUGCUACUGAUCUUAGCGGCGGACGGGUGAGUAAUGCUUAGGAAUCUGCCUAUUAGUGGGGGACAACAUUUCGAAAGGAAUGCUAAUACCGCAUACGUCCUACGGGAGAAAGCAGGGGAUCUUCGGACCUUGCGCUAAUAGAUGAGCCUAAGUCGGAUUAGCUAGUUGGUGGGGUAAAGGCCUACCAAGGCGACAAUCUGUAGCGGGUCUGAGAGGAUGAUCCGCCACACUGGGACUGGUACACGGCCCAGACUCCUACGGGAGGCAGCAGUGGGGAAUAUUGGACAAUGGGCGGAAGCCUGAUCCAGCCAUGCCGCGUGUGUGAAGAAGGCCUUAUGGUUGUAAAGCACUUUAAGCGAGGAGGAGGCUACUUUAGUUAAUACCUAGAGAUAGUGGACGUUACUCGCAGAAUAAGCACCGGCUAACUCUGUGCCAGCCGCCGCAGUAA